UGUUUUCUUUUUUUUUUUUUUCCCAUGAAGCUCAAAUGUGCCAUCAGGGUGAACUUUGGUUUCUAUUGAACUUUCCAGAGGAAGGUUAGAGAAUUUGCUAUGCUAAGAAGUGCUUGAAUUCAUGUUUUCCCCACACAAACCCCACUUGGUCUACAUGCCAGCAAGUGUUCUUUGCACAGGAGAAAUACACACUAAAAGGGGGUACUUUCAUUUGAGAGCUGAAGCAAAAAUAGAAAAAUGUUUUCCCAAAAUAACAAACUCAAGAAUUUUAUAGAAAUGAAUUGUUACUUAUAUGCCCUGAAGCUUACCAUGACCUCCCCUUUGCUACCAGGAGACUGAAAAGUCUGAUACCACAGAGAAGUCUGAUGCUACAGAGGAGAAAUCAGAAGGCACAGGAGAUGAACCUGAUUCCAGGGAUGAAAAAUCUGAUGCCACAAAUGAAACUGAGGCACACACAGAAGCCAAGGAAGGUGAAGGGGCUCCUGAAGAGGCUCAGUCUGACCAGACACCACCAGAAGGUCAACAGGAAGGCGAGGAAGAACAUGCAGCAACAGGGGAAGAAGAAAAGCAAGGAGAGGGAGAAGAAAAGGAAGAGGUGGAGGAGCAGGAAGAGUCUUAGUACAGUCCCCUAUGACACAACAUUUCUUGAACAGGUUUUCAGGAAGCACCAGCUGGAGCCACCCCACCAAAAAAAAAGGAAAAUCCCUUUCUCAGCAAAGCACCACCACCUUUUGUGCCUGUAUGAACAUAAAAACAUAACCAGAGCACAGACACCACUCUGUCCCACCUGUAGCCUUUAUAUAUAUAUUUGGUAUUCCAGUUGUUGUUAAAAUGGAUCUCAUGUCUGACAGAUAGUAUUUCAGUCAGUUGUUCUGUGUUGGGAUAGUUUUGUCCAUGUCACAUUUAGCCUGUGAGCUCCCCAGGGCAGGAACCAUGUCUGUCUGCAUGUCCAAGCACUGCUGCCCCUCAGUGUGACUGCACUCACACCAGUGACAUCUUCAGAGGAAAAGAAAUUCAGCACUGAAAACUGCAGAGGCUUCCUGUACACAAGCCAUGUGAAUCACUUCUCCCUCAGCUGGCAUUUGAAAUGAUUGAGAUUCCCAUUGGGCAGCAGUUUCAAUAAAUUUGUUUUCUGUCAUAUCUGUUCUUUGUCUGCAGAAACAUUAACUGUGUGAGCAAAUGUUUUCUCCAUUGUCACGGUUGUGGGCUGUACUAAGUCAUGGAAUCAUAGACUCAUGGAGAGGUUUGGGUUGGAAGGGACCUUAAAGAUCAUCCAGUUUCCACUAUCCCAGGGUGCUCAGAGCUCCAUCUAACCUGGCCUUGGACAUUUCCAGGGAUGGGGCAGCCACAGCUUAUCUGGGCACACUGUAUCAGAGCCUCUCACAAUAAAGAAUUUCUUCUCAAUAUCCCAUCUAAACCUACUCUCUGUCAAUUUGAAGCCAUUCCCUGUGUGCUGCCCCUCCAUCCCUUGGGAAUUGUCUCUCUCCAUGUUUCCUGCAGCUCCUUCAGGCCCUGCAAGGCCACCCUGAGCUCAGCCCAAAGCUUCUCCUGUGCAGGUGAACAAUCCCAGCUGUGCCAGCCUUUCCUGCCAGCAGAGCUGCUCCAUCCUCUGCUCAUCCUGCUGCCUCCUCUGGGCUCUCUGCAGCAGCUCCAGCUCCUUCCAAAAUCAUCAGCUCAAGGUGCAGCAGUGGCCAAGACCCAGGGAAAUGCACUGUCAGCAGGAUGGCAGGGCUUUGUGGCCAUACAAACCUGGCUGUGCUGACAUCUUGAACAGGUUGUGCAGUCUGAUCUCAGGGAAGACCUGGGGAUGUAAAAAAUACAGAGAAAACAGCAGCUGGAGAGGAUGAAACAGCUGCUCCAUGAGGAAGCUGAAAAGACUUCAAUUUGGAGAGGAAGCCAAGGCAGCUACAAAAAAUUAUAAAGAUGAACGCAGAACAGUGAGUCAGAAAAUCCUGCAACACCAUAAUGAAAAUUAGGAGACACAAUAAAAUUAAUGGAUCAGCUUGACAGAGAAAAGAGAAUGUUUUUAUGCAGUGAGUCAGGAAAUUUUGGAAUUCAUCAUCACAGGAUGUUUUGGAAGCUGACAAUGUCAACGGGCCCAGGAAGGGAUCAUUGGGAUGUUAGGAACAGGAGGCUCAUAAAUGGAUACUACAGCCUGGGAUGUGACCACAACAUCCCAAAUCCAAGGAGUCACAGAUGCUGGGGACUGGGGGCAAAAGGAUUCAAAUACGUCAGACUUGCUAUUCCUAAAUAGUUUUGCCCAUUGCCAGUUUCAAAGACUGAAUACCAGGUAAGGUGAGCCACUGAUUUUAGCAUUUCUUAUGUUCCUGCAGGUAAUUCCUCUUCCUGGGGAGAACUUUCCCCAUCUCACCAGCAGCCAAGUCAGGACACCAGUCACUGGUGCAGAGGCUUUGAGCAGAAGGACUCUUGGGAGCAUGGUGCACAGUAUAAACACAGAACUGUUAAUCACUCUGGUAAAUCCAGUGUGUGCUGUGCCUUGGUGUAUUCCUGUGGCUGAUGAACCACAAGCUCCACUUUUCCCCCCAGCACAAAAACCCUGAGUGUACUUAGGACAUCAGGCUUUGGGCUUGAGACAAAACCCACCAUGCUCUGCACAUCCUUGUUAAGGCAGAAAUAGAGCAGUGAUUUCUGGAGAGGGUCUAAUCUGGGAGGGAAUGUGAGGAAUGCUAAGCCUCCCACGUGGGAGGGACACACUGCCCUGGUCCUCAGCUGGUGACUGGGGUGAAACAGCAAACAGGACAGCAGAAGAUCCUACAGCCAGCACAGAACUUUGGGGUGUUCCUUGGGAUCAGCACCUGCUGGCCAUCCCUCCUGCCAGGAGAAAAGGAGGCUGUGAGUAUGCCAAGGAUAAACUGGGGCCAGCUGCUGCUCGCUGGUUUUAGCCAUAAUGUUAAUUCUGCUUACAUAAGCUUAAUACUUUCUGCAGUAAUUUAGUGCAACUGGGCAAAGAACUAAAUCUUUUCUAAACUACAGCUGGAUGAAAAUCAGUAGCACAAAUUUGUGAGCUAUUGGCUGAAAUGCACUUGGAGGAAUACUGUCUGCAUUUUUAUAUUCCUGUUUUACUGGGAGAAGGCAACAGCAGCUGGAUAACACAGUACACAGCAUUUCACAGGCUUCAGGAAUCCAGAGAUGCAAAAUCCUUCCAGUGCACUCCAGUUACACACAAACCAGAUUUUUUUUUUUUUUUUUUUUUUGGGGGGGGGGGGGGGGGGGGGGGGGGGGGGGGGGGGGGGGGGGGGGGGGGGGGGGGGGGGGGGGGGGGGGGGGGGGGGGGGGGGGGGGGGGGGGGGGGGGGGGGGGGGGGGGGGGGGGG
ensembl:lncRNA